GAUCAUGGGCUCAGGAUGAACGCUAGCGGCAGGCCUAACACAUGCAAGUCGAGGGGCAUCGGGAUUGAAGCUUGCUUCAAUUGCCGGCGACCGGCGCACGGGUGCGUAACGCGUAUGUAACCUACCUAUAACAGGGGCAUAACACUGAGAAAUUGGUACUAAUUCCCCAUAAUAUUCGGAGAGGCAUCUCUCCGGGUUGAAAACUCCGGUGGUUAUAGAUGGACAUGCGUUGUAUUAG
rnacentral:rRNA from 1 species